AUUGAACGCUGGCGGCAGGCCUAACACAUGCAAGUCGAACGGUAACAGGAAGAAGCUUGCUUCUUUGCUGACGAGUGGCGGACGGGUGAGUAAUGUCUGGGAAACUGCCUGAUGGAGGGGGAUAAUUACUGGAAACGGUAGCUAAUACCGCAUAACGUCGCAAGACCAAAAAGGGGGACCUUCGGGCCUCUUGCCAUCGGAUGUGCCCAGAUGGGAUUAGCUAGUAGGUGGGGUAACGGCUCACCUAGGCGACGAUCCCUAGCUGGUCUGAGAGGAUGACCAGCCACACUGGAACUGAGACACGGUCCAGACUCCUACGGGAGGCAGCAGUGGGGAAUAUUGCACAAUGGGCGCAAGCCUGAUGCAGCCAUGCCGCGUGUAUGAAGAAGGCCUUCGGGUUGUAAAGUACUUUCAGCGGGGAGGAAGGGAGUAAAGUUAAUACCUUUGCUCAUUGACGUUACCCGCAGAAGAAGCACCGGCUAACUCCGUG
rnacentral:rRNA from 1 species